AUUGAACGCUGGCGGCAUGCUUUACACAUGCAAGUCGAACGGCAGCAUGGGCUUCGGCCUGAUGGCGAGUGGCGAACGGGUGAGUAAUACAUCGGAACGUACCUGAUAGUGGGGGAUAACUGACCGAAAGGUUAGCUAAUACCGCAUACGCCCCGAGGGGGAAAGUGGGGGACCAGCAAUGGCCUCACGCUAACAGAGCGGCUGAUGGCUGAUUAGCUAGUUGGUGAGGUAAAGGCUCACCAAGGCGACGAUCAGUAGCGGGUCUUAGAGGCCGAUGCGCCACACUGGAACUGAGACACGGUCCAGACUCCUACGGGAGGCAGCAGUGGGGAAUCUUGGACAAUGGGCGCAAGCCUGAUCCAGCAAUGCCGCGUGGGUGAAGAAGGCCUUCGGGUUGUAAAGCCCUUUUGUUUGGGAGCAAAUCCUAACGGUUAAUACCUGUUGGGGAUGAGAGUACCAAAAGAAUCAGCACCGGCUAACUACGUGCCAGCCGCCGCCGUAA
rnacentral:rRNA from 1 species